rnacentral:rRNA from 1 species
GCCCAGACUCCUACGGGAGGCAGCAGUGGGGAAUAUUGCACAAUGGGGGGAACCCUGAUGUAGCGACGCCGCGUGGGCGAGGAAGUAUUUCGGUAUGUAAAGCCCUAUCGGCAGGGAAGAAGAAAUGACGGUACCUGAAUAAGAAGCACCGGCUAAAUACGUGCCAACAGCCGCGGUAAUACGUAUGGUGCAAGCGUUAUCCGGAUUCACUGGGUGUAAAGGGAGCGUAGACGGCCAUGCAAGCCAGGGGUGAAAGCCCGGGGCCCAACCCCGGGACUGCCCUUGGAACUGCAUGGCUGGAGUGCGGGAGGGGCAGGCGGAAUUCCUGGUGUAGCGGUGAAAUGCGUAGAUAUCAGGAGGAACACCGGCGGCGAAGGCGGCCUGCUGGAUCGCGACUGACGUUGAGGCUCGAAAGCGUGGGGAGCGAACAGGAUUAGAUACCCGAGUAA